UUCUCCACACCAGGCAGGGUGGGAGCACGAUCUGGCCUGUGACGGAUGGCGAGGCUCGCUCUCACAUCCAUCCUUUCCUUCAUUCAUUCCAACCUCAAGAGGCCAGCCUGCCCGGCUUCCCGCCUGACCUAGGUCAACACUGAAACCACCAGUUGGAGUCAAAAGGCCUGGAGUGUGGCAAUCACCUUAUUUCUUCAACAAACAAAUUGCAAAGAGAAAAGGAACGAGGGGAAGCCACAGAUUGAAAGAGGCACAACCACCAAAAGCGGGCAGACAGAUAAUUUGGAGCAUCUGAAGAGACAUGCCUGGAGCCACGGGGGCGCCACUGUGGGUACCUCAUUACUGAAACACCAAAGCGACGCCAGCGGCGGGGAAGAAAGCACUGCACAUCCCACACGGUGACGGGCUAGAAAGCUUCACUGUCUCACUCAGAAACUAUUUCUAAUCGAAGACACUCCCAGACUUCAGUUCUGACAGCAAAACCCUAUGGCCCUCGGCAGUCUGACUCAGCAGGCUGGCUGAUGGGAGGGCUCUGGGCCUCAGUAGCCCAAGUUUGAAGUCCGAUUCUCUUCCCUUUCUCCCUCCUCUGCUCCAGAGAAGUCACCAUUUGUUGGCUGACUCAGUGGUAGCUUCAGGGGAAGCUGGUGGCUGGGGGGGACCAGUUCAGGGACUAACCAGGGUCCAUCUGAGGCUUGUAUACCCCCCUUACCUGUAUUUACGCUUUUACUGUUGCCUGAGUUCAAGAAGACCAUCACCUACUGAAAUCCUACUCAUUUUUUAAGAACUAUUUUAAAUGCCAUCGAACUCCCAGAUCUUUUCCCAGCCUGCUCAUCAAAGCUAAGCUCUUUCCCAGCCCACCCUUCCUCUGAACCCCCCAACUUCUUUUUUUUAAGAUUUUAUUUGUUUAUUCACAAGAAAGAGAGAGAGAGGCAGAGACACAGGCAGAGGGAGAAGCAGGCUCCAUGCAGGGAGACGGACGUGGGACUCGAUCCCAGGUCUCCAGGAUCAGGCCCUGGGCUGAAGGCAGGCACUAAACCGCUGAGCCACCCAGGCUGCCCUGAUCCCCCCAGCUUCUUGCUUGUAGGCCUUAUAUAGUAUGUUUGAGUAUCCAGAGCCCUGGCUGGGUGGUCAAACUCUCGAUGGCUGGAAUGUGUCUCCUCCACCUGUGUACCCACUGUCCCCGAGUCACCCCCUGUCCCCAGCUGCUCUCUGCUGGUGUAGAGUGGCUGCGGAAUAGAUGAGCUCACCCAAGGCCUUGCAACCGCCUUCCACCACCCAGCCCCUCUGCCUCCUUCCUGCCACCUCUCCUUUUCCUUCUGCCCCCUCUCCCCACAGCACCUCUCUCUAUUUCCCUCAGUUGAGAAGUGAGAGCAUCGAACAUCGGAAAAGAGGAGGAUUGAUUUCACACCCGGGCCUCAGGCCGUCUGGGCAGAUUGCCGGUGCCAGGCCAUUUGUCUGGUGGGUGCAGAAGUGGGGGGGAAAUCUCAGCCCUACCGCCUCACACGCCCAUCACCGCUUUCUGGAUCAGCAAACCCCUCUCUCAGUCAAUAGGAGCUUUGUGAGC